GAUGUUUGAUAAAGCCAGUGAUCCACCAGACAGCUCCCUAGAUAAGCCAGUCACACAACCUACAACUGGAUUGCCACAUCUCCAAAACUGCUGAAUGUACAUUUGAGUGAAUCCAAGCACAGAAAGCUGAAUAUCAAAUCCAACCGUAAAAAAAGUAUGGACUAAUGCUACAGACAGAAGAAUAAAUGAAUCAUCAGAACUGAUGCAGGUUUCUCAGAAGUGUUACCACACAUGACUGAACGGCUUCAUCCCACCAUCAAAUCACCUCUGGGACUUUUCAUCCACCACUACUAAAUCACCAUGUUUUCAAUUACUCAAAUUAAGUGCACUUGACAGUAUUUAAUUUAAAAUUGGCUAAUUCAUUGUAAUUGAGAGAUGAAGCCAAUUUCAGAUGGAUGUAUUAGUCGUAAUGGCAUUCUAAAGAGGUUACCUAUUUCACAGAUAUACUGUUAUGUUAUUCAGUGCCAAUAAACCAUCAACAUGAUUUUUCCAUUGUA